rnacentral:lncRNA from 1 species
GCCGAUAUAUAUACACGUACAGGUGAUGGACUAUAUGCAGGAAAACCCCUUAUAUAUUGGGAUAAAUACAAAAGGGGUACAUGACUUGUAUUAUAACUCUAACACCCCCCCUCAAACUCAUGGUGGAUGAACAACACUGAGUUUGGAGAGAUAAAAGCCAUGUUGUGCUCUAGUCUGGGCCUUCGUCAGGAAAUCCGCCAGCUGUAACUCGGAAGGCACAUACUGAAGAGCAACAACCUGAUCCUGCACAGCAGCGCGCACAUAGAAAGCAUCAACACCAAUAUGC